rnacentral:lncRNA from 1 species
GAGAGAACGGGCAGAGACUUCGUGGGCCGAGGCGGCCAAGCAUCUGAGUGCGAGGCACGCCGGGAACACGGAGCUCGCCUCGCGUCCACCCCGCACCCGGAAGGGCACAAGGCGGACGGGGAAAACCGAAACCAGAAAUUCCGUUUUGUUGGUAAGCAACACAGGAUACCGAACGAAACCCUCAAGGCAACAGCUGCGCUUGGGGAAAGACUGAAGCGGACGGCCUUCGAGCAGUUCGGUGCACGAGCACGGAGCCUGCCGACUGACGCCCUCCAAUCACCACUCACACGCCCUGCCGUUCACUUGGCUACAACCUUGCGGAGCGUCCCGUAGGCCCGAAGCAAUUGCCGUCGGGUCUACAGAAGCACCAAGCAAGGCUAAGCCAGCACCGUCGGACGCGAAAAGCAGCACACAUUUACUUUUUUCCGCAAAAACAAGGCCAUUCACUUGGCUACGACCUUGCCCAGCGUCCCGC